rnacentral:rRNA from 1 species
GUGGGGAAUCUUAGACAAUGGGGGAAACCCUGAUCUAGCCAUGCCGCGUGAGCGAUGAAGGCCUUAGGGUUGUAAAGCUCUUUCAGCUGGGAAGAUAAUGACGGUACCAGCAGAAGAAGCCCCGGCUAACUCCGUGCCAGCAGCCGCGGUAAUACGGAGGGGGCUAGCGUUGUUCGGAAUUACUGGGCGUAAAGCGCGCGUAGGCGGACCAGAAAGUUGGAGGUGAAAUCCCAGGGCUCAACCUUGGAACUGCCUUCAAAACUCCUGGUCUGGAGUUCGAGAGAGGUGAGUGGAAUUCCGAGUGUAGAGGUGAAAUUCGUAGAUAUUCGGAGGAACACCAGUGGCGAAGGCGGCUCACUGGCUCGAUACUGACGCUGAGGUGCGAAAGCGUGGGGAGCAAACAGGAUUAGAUACCCCUGUAGUCC